CCUACGGGGGGCAGCAGUGGGGAAUAUUGGACAAUGGGGGCAACCCUGAUCCAGCCAUGCCGCGUGUGUGAAGAAGGCCCUCGGGUUGUAAAGCACUUUCAGUGAGGAAGAACGCCUGGUGGUUAAUACCCAUCAGGAAAGACAUCACUCACAGAAGAAGCACCGGCUAACUCCGUGCCAGCAGCCGCGGUAAUACGGAGGGUGCGAGCGUUAAUCGGAAUUACUGGGCGUAAAGCGCGCGUAGGUGGCUUGAUAAGCCGGUUGUGAAAGCCCCGGGCUCAACCUGGGAACGGCAUCCGGAACUGUCAAGCUAGAGUGCAGGAGAGGAAGGUAGAAUUCCCGGUGUAGCGGUGAAAUGCGUAGAGAUCGGGAGGAAUACCAGUGGCGAAGGCGGCCUUCUGGACUGACACUGACACUGAGGUGCGAAAGCGUGGGUAGCAAACAGGAUUAGAGACCCCAGUAGUC
rnacentral:rRNA from 1 species